GUGACUCAUCAUAGGAGAUUCCAUGCUCUUUUUCCUAGAAACCCUGCAGCAAGAGAAGCUGUGAGAAGCACAAGCCAUGGAGGAUCACAGCCCCUGAAGGCACAGAGGAAGAGACCAAUCUUACGAUAAUAGUUUAAAUCUCAGGUUCGUGGGGUUUGAAGUGAGUUUUGAAGUGGAGUUUGAAGUGAGCAUUGUGAGCCUCACAAUGGCAGUAGGCUCACCAGCCCUGCUGCUUGCUCCCAUGGUGGACUCUUCUAUAGAUGGACAUGGAUAUUACAGAAACAAAGGGCUCCACCACAUCCUUGUGGUGACAAGAACAUUCAGACUGAGGGUACGUCAAGAGAUGGCAGCCCAUCCUUUCAAUUAAAAAGAAAGAGUUAUUUAAUUUCUUUGUAUCCUUUAAAAAUGCCUGCUGAGGUGACACAGGCACAAAGCAGACUCAGCCUACACAACCCUGAAUGACAAGCCCCCAUGUUGGAUAGACAGUGAAAACUUCCUGCUCAGUGAAACCCAGAUUAUUUCCCAGAAGCACCUCCAGAAAGAAAACUGAAUGUUGUGCCAGACAGGAAAAUCAAGGCUUGUAAGCUCAAGGUGUUGAGGGAGGAGAAGGCUGGCUGAACUUUCAUUUCCUGCAAGGUUUCCUGUAUGAUGUAACAAUGAGAGUGGGAGCAGCAAACAGCUCCUCAAGCAUUAACUGUGUCAGGAUGUUUGAGAUUGUGUGAAGCAAACGGUACUCAGAGGCUCGAAGCAAAGUUUUUCUCCAUCGUCCCAGCUGGAAUACCCUCUUGUACUUGGACUAAGACCUGUGAGUUGUUGCCUUGUGUGGAAUAUGAGAUCUGCUAAGAAAACCAUUGUAAAGUUCUUCAGCAAUGAACUAAUUAUUCUGGCACUUGAUUCGAAG